rnacentral:rRNA from 1 species
UAGGGAAUCUUCCACAAUGGGCGAAAGCCUGAUGGAGCAACGCCGCGUGUGUGAUGAAGGGUUUCGGCUCGUAAAACACUGUUGUAAGACGAAGAAUGACAUUGAGAGUAACUGUUCAAUGUGUGACGGUAUCUUACCAGAAAGGAACGGCUGAAUACGUGCCAG